AAUUUUAAAUAUUCUUAUUGGUUAUGACUAAAAAAUAUUUAAUACAUUUAAAAUAUUAAUACAUUUACAUGUUAAUAAAAAGCACAAGAAAAUAAUAGACAAGUAAAAUGUCUUUCCCCCUCCAAACUUUCAGUCUCCUUCUACCUCUAGAUGAAUAAACCUGUUAUCGGUUUGUUGUGGAUACUUUAGAGAUAUUAUUUGCACUUAACUAUUGGCCUACAAGGGCCUCAACUAUUUCAAGGCCCUUUGAUGAUUACGUCUUUUGAGUUUUAUUUGCUAAGAACACAUGCUUUUUAAAAGAAUAUUUCCUAAUAGUGAAAGUAAUAUGGAUGCCUGGAGAGGGUAAUGCUAAUGAGAAAAUACAAAAUGGGGAAAUUAUUCACCUGAAUAAACCUGGAGAGUUUACAAGUAAAGCUUCACUGGUCACUGCAGGGUUUAAAGGAAGUUUCCACUUUACAAUGUAAAUAUGUUGUGGUCGUCUUAGUUCUUAGACUAAUUUGCUUCUUUCUGGUGGGGAGGAUAGCAAUGUUGAGAAAACACUGACUAAACCGAAAAUCGGCUCCAUUUAAAUGUGAAGCUGCGUUCUAAACACAAGCAUAGUCUGCUGAAGGGCUCUGAACAUUAAGCUGCAUGCCUUGCUGAGUUUUAUUCCAAAUAGACAACAGCAGAUGGUAACAAUGCACUUCUCAUAGAUGGUAGGAGGGAGGCAGUCUUGUUUCAAGUAAUACUAUUUCUGGGCGAUAAUCCAAAAUGUGCAGUAGGCAGAAGUUAAAAGGAAGCGCUUGCUUUUAGGUUUUAAAAAUAUAUCCCUUAAUCCUGGGUGAUGAUUGACAAUCAUGAUUUAGAGUAUGAGGGGCCGCUCUUUAAUCCGGCAAGUUUGAUGUUAUUUGCGUAUCUAGUAGGGCUUUUAUUCAACUAAAACUAAGUGGAAGCCUGUGCAAUUGAUGCCGCAUUUCAGAAUUGAUUCUUGGCCUGGUACUCUAUUUACAGAUUAGUAAGUACACAGGAUCUGUCCUCCUCCUCAUCUUUUUGAAAUUUAAAGGUUCUAAAAGGCACAUUUACAAUUAAAAUAUUUCUUGCUGUGUAAGAGUAUGACUAGGAGAUGACUUUUUUCUGUAUAAUUUAAUUUCUUGAGAAAAGAAGCAGUCUAUAAGAUUAUAUUAAUCCUGAUUUGAUUAUCAAACUAUGAUAUUAGCUAUUGGUAUUUAUAAAUGAUUAAAAUGUUGUCAUUAUUGACUUCAUGUGGUUUGUUUGUUAUAAGUUCUUUGGAGAAAUUUUAAUGAAUUACCUCCAAGUCUCUUGCUCCUAUUAGGUUUCUAGCAAAGCUUUUCUAAGGAAUAGAUCAAUGUUAAGCCAUUAUAUUACAAUUGUUUUAUCAGCUGUGACAAUAAUUUGAUCACACAUUAAAAUAAAAUUAGUUAAAUCAUAAACUCCAAAACAAGAUAUCAUUAAGAAAGGAAAAUAUACAGGAAUGAAAGUUAACAGACAAAUUUUACAGCAAUUAACAGGAGUGAUUUUUUUUUUUUUUUUGAGGCACUUAAGCUCUGCGUUCAAUGUCUUUGUCACAGUUCCAUUUGACAAAGCGAAAUAGACUACAUGUGAAGCCCAAGUGAUACAGUGUCUUUCCUGUAUUCUCAUGAUGUUUUAAAUUAUGCAGUUUUUGGAAAAUGUUUAAGAAGUUAAAUGCAUUCAUUACAGAAAAAUUUGAAAAAUACAGAAAAGUAUGAAAAGAAAAUAAACAUUACCUUCAUUCCCAACAGUCACUAUUGUGAAUCGUCUUCUAUUUAUUUUUCUUAUAUUUUGUUGCAAAUAUUUAGAUUUCAGGGCUAAAAUGUACUUCCCAGGAGACGUCCUGGCUGCUAGGAGUGUGUAGAAGCAUUCAAAAUGGGUUCCUCUGGAGUUGACGUGAGUGACACAACCUGCUACAGGUUUGGUCUGUGUUUUGUAAGCUGCGUCAGCAGAGCUUUCUAUUAAAACCCCAGUGAUGGGAUCCUUUGUGUUUAGAAUAUACUCUAACCUAAUAAGUGCAUGUUGAUAAUACCUCUUUCUGUUAACAUUUCAAAAGCCCGUUUUGCUGUAGUAUCAUGCAUUUGAUAUUUAAAAGCUAAUAAAUCCAAGUGAUAGUAAGAAAAUGUUAUUGAUAUAUUCAUCGCAAAAUGUUCUUCAAACCAAAUUUUGUUUUUGCAUUUGUACUUAUAGUUUUGUGCCAGUAAAUGACUGGGUGAUUGCUACAGUGAAAACACUGCUUGCCUCAGCUUUGCUUAAUUAAUUCAUAAUGACAACAUAGGUAAUUCAUUAAAUCUUAAUGAAGAUUGGAUAUAGAGGAGUAUAGUAGUUGGAUCUAAAUCUACAGCUCAAAAAUCAAAUCCCAACCCCUUAGACUGCCAAAUCCAGAGAAAAGUCAAGGCCCUUUCUCUCCAGCCAGCGAUGGCCAUCAUCCUAGAAACCUACACUGUUGCAUGGUUUUUCCUUUGCCUAGAAUGCUCUUCUCCUACCUACUUCCCACCCUCAGGUCUCACACUGCAGCUCUUCCUUCCAGAAACUGCUCAAGUGUCUCCAUGAAGCUUUUGGCUACUACCCCCUCCCCAAGGUCCUGGCCCCUUCCUCUCCACUGCCAGGGCACUACACACACACACACACACACACACACACACACACACACCCCUCCACACAGCUCUCAUCACCUCUGGUUUCCAUGAUUUGUUUACUGUCUGUCUCCUCCUUACCUGUGAGCUCUCACAGUCUAGCACAGCAUUAAAAAAUGGUUUGUUGACUGAAUGACUUACUAAAAUAGAUGAAUAAACAAACGGAUGGUUGAAUUUGCUCAUGAGAUAAGGGUACCCACCACCCAGCAUGUGUCUAGCACAUAGUACACAUAGGAGCAAUGACCAUCUCUGAUGCUAUUACUUUUACUGAAUAGUUACCAGACAUUGCAUUCAGUGCUUUAAUGAAUUACUCAUUUAUGGUCAUCUUAUUGCUAUCUAUAUUUUACAGAAGAGGUAACAACCAAGAGCUCACAGGGUGGGCACUCAAACCCAUGCUGUCUUAUUCCAAAGCUUAGGUACUUGGCAAUAUUAAACAUUCUACUGCCUUUUUCUAUAGGAGGCAGUCAAUACUUGAAUGAAUGAGUGAUGAACGCUUCCCCUCUAUUAAAGAAGCUAUGGUAUCCUCUUGGAUUGCUCUUUCUGCCACUCUCGAAGCCUAACUCUCAGUAAGCAGGCCUCUGUUUCAAAGGCAAGAAGAAAGGAGUGCAAUGAGGAACCUGAGGCACAGAAUAGGCAAAUGGCUUGUCCAAGAUAACACAGCAAGACAGCAGUGGAGAUGAGAUGAGAGUAACUGCUUGCAAUUAGCCCAAAUCCUUUUCCACCUGUACUUUGAAGCAAUGAAUGUCAGGUAGCAUGUCAGUUAUAUAUCUGAGAUGCUGACCAUUUUUUUCUCCUCCCCCACACAAAGAAGUAGUCCAAACAAUGGUCUAGCAUUAAUAAAAACAGAAACAUUUUGUUAAAAUAACAAAUGUGAAUUGGACUCAAAAGGUGACAGAUUUUUAUGUAUGUGCCCAAAGUUUCAGAGAUGGUUUUAUUCAUGGCCAUGAGUCCAGCACAUGCUUUUGUAAUUCCCAAGCUCUGCUUCUUCAACCCCAGUGUGCUUCAACCUCAAGAAGUCCCCCUUGUUACCUUCUUUAAGUUCAUAGGUAAAGCUGUGUUUCAUUUUGUUUACUGAAAAUGUUUUGAAAUUAUUUUGUGUCUAGGAGAGAUUGGAAUGGAUUGGAAAACAUUAACCUGUCUCAUUAUCACAUAGCCAAAUGCUAUUUAAAUGAGCAAUUAUUUAAAGUAGUCCAAAGCAGUAUUUUUUUUCCUCUAAGGAAGAAUCAAUUUUAUCACUAUUUAUUUCCCCAAUUCUUUUAUCUUCACCUUCAAAGAAAUGGAGAUUUAUAUAUUUUUUUAAGUUGAAGUCUCACUCUGUCAUCCAGGCUGGAAU